rnacentral:rRNA from 1 species
UACGGGGGGAGCAAACGUUGUUCGGAAUCACUGGGCGUAAAGGGCGCGUAGGCGGCUAGGUAAGUGGGGUGUUAAAUCUCCCGGCUCAACCGGGAACCUGCACCUCAUACUGCCAAGCUUGAGUAUAGGAGAGGAGACUGGAAUUCCCGGUGUAGCGGUGAAAUGCGUACGAUAUCGGAGGAACGAACCAGCGGCGGAGGCGAAGGUCGUC